rnacentral:rRNA from 1 species
GACGGAGGAUGCAAGCGUUAUCCGGAAUGAUUGGGCGUAAAGCGUCUGCAGGUGGCAGUUCAAGUCUGCUGUCAAAGACCGGGGCUUAACUUCGGAAAGGCAGUGGAAACUGAACAGCUAGAGUAUGGUAGGGGCAGAGGGAAUUCCUGGUGUAGCGGUGAAAUGCGUAGAGAUCAGGAAGAACAUCGGUGGCGAAGGCGCUCUGCUGGGCCGACACUGACACUGAGAGACGAAAGCUAGGGGAGCGAAUGGG